GUGUGUGUGUGGUGGUGGGGAACCUGUGCUGCGUUCAAAGACAGCAGGGGAAAAAUCUGAACAACAACGUAACCGAGGUGCAGUUGUUGGGCCUCUCAGUUGUACAACUCCUGUAAUAUAUAGGCUUAACGUUAAAGCAAUGUUUAGACCCUUCAAAGUAAUGUGUAUUUUUUUAAAAAAAUAAUAUAAGCAAUCAGUUUAUCCGCAUAUUUGAAAGCGUGAAGACUUUGAAGUUUACGAGGUGCCUCAAAUGCAUCGCUGCGACGUUUAUUUGCGUUUUCAUUCACCGGCCUGAUUUGAAAACUGGAGGCGUGCUCAACUUGUUCUGUCUCUUCCACACGUUUCGCUUUGCGUAAUUCUUCUUACUGAGCAGAGUUAUUCUACAGAGCAAGUGUAAAUUACGUGUAAUUGUCUAUGCUUAUGAUCGCUUAUAUUUUUUAUUUCUCAAAAAUGACCUCCAUGGAAAAUGGAAGUAGUUCACUGCUUCCCUCUGCUGGGAGUCAACCGUCCUGCAGUGAAAAAACGCUCUUGGGAAGGCUUUACCUUUUUUUUUCUUCUUCUUCUUCUUCUGGUGUUUCUAGGUGACAGUUUUGCUGGGCGUCCGCUUUUGGCAGAGUUGCUGUCAUGUUGGAGACCGUCCAUUUGUAAAUGAUUUGUCUGACAGUGGAAUCUUUCGAGAAUGGUCUGAGAGCCCUCCCCAGAUGGAUGGGCUGUCAAUAAAUAGUCUUCAUUCUUCCAUAAUUCUUCAUCUCCUUUGCUCUUGCUUUAGUUGAUUUUUAUGGGACCACAUUUGAUUCGGUUGCUUUCAUCUGUAUGAAUUAGUGCGGGCCAAAACCUUUCCCAAUGAGGUCUUAUUUCAUAGGUCAUAAUUCAGCAGAUACAGUACAGCUGUUAAAAGCUAUCCGGGUGCUUGUGCAGGACCUGCUGGCAGUUAAGUCCCGAAUAUGCUAUAUUUGUACUUUUGCACUUAAGUACACGGUAUGAGACUUUUUGAGACUCUAGUCUGUGUAAUGGUGAGAUGAGUACGAGCAGCUCUAGUUUUGGUUACAGUGUUUUACAUGGGCUCUAACACAUUAAACACGCAGAUCACAUACACAAUCAGCAUUAGAGGUGUGUUCAUUCACUGCUUUAUUGGGUACUGCAUACAUUUUGCUAUUAAAGCCCCCCCCCCACAUUGUAUAAUUAUUUUCACAUAUAAAGCUUUAUAAAUUCUGCUUUAGACUGAUAGGUAUACCUGAGUUGCGGAUUUGCUUCUGUGUUUUAGAUCAUUGCCCUGUUGCAACACCCAUCCUCUUUUGAGUUUCUAUCUUGCUGUUUUUAGAUCUACCUACCUACCUAUCGUCUCAUCCUUUACAUCCUCUACCCUCUUGGUCUCAAGUUGUCUUCUUGCAUUGCUGGGGGCUUCAUUGCUUUUUUGUUCUGCUUUGUUUUCCCAUGAUAUACGAUCGUACUGUGUUUUAUUCUUGUCUGUUAAAGCACUUUGUCAACAUGUGUUUUUAAAGGUGCUAUACAAAUAAGAAGAAGAAGAAGAAGAAAAAGAAAGAUAGCUGGGAUAGGCUCCAGGACACCCAUGACCCUUGUGAGGAGAAGCGGUACAGAAAAUGGAUGGAUCAUAAUAAUAAUAAUAAUAUUAAUGUCUGAAUAACAUGGUGUUGACCAGAGGCAUGUUGAUUUAAUCACCUGUAAAUACUAUGGCGAUAGAAUGUAGCAAAACAUCAUAAAGCGCUGUGUAAUAAGUGUAAUAAAGAGUCAUUCUCCAUUUUCGUGGGAGUGGGCUCGUUUGAAGGGAUUUGAACUGAGUAGAAUUCAGGGAAGGGCCAGCCUGAUCGGAUUUAGGAACUCAAGGAUCUAUUGCUGAGUUGUCAGGGCUGCUGCCUCAGCACCCUGAACGCCUUCUGUGCGAGUGUGUUCGUAGGUGUGUCUCUGUGCAGGUAUGGCGAGACCAGUUGGAGCCGGGACCAGGUGCAAUUAAUCUUCAUCAACGGUGUACUUAAGAUCGCCUCGAGUAGUCGUACUUAACCCAACGCCUGCCUCCUCGCCUGCACAACCUGCCUGCGUGCGGAGUUCCCCCACGCCUGGUUCCUCACCCGCACUCCCUUCACGCCUGCCCGUGGAACCCCUUGUCUGGCCGAGACGGACCACCCGAAGUCCCUGCUCCCCCUACCUGGGCGCCGUUCCCCCCUGUUUGCCUGUUGCGAGGAAACAAAUUCCCUAUAAGUUGACUUGCUUUGCUCGUCUCUGCUGUUGGGUCCUCUCCCGCAGUACAGUAUUGGGAAAAUUGCAAGACAGCGGUUUUGACCAAUUUACUGUUUGGAAAAUGAAGAUGUCAUCUGGUUAAAAACUACUACGACUACUCGCCAGUGAAGUGGAGCCUAUCCUAGCUGACUUCAGAGAGGCAGGGUACACCCGAGAAUGGUUGCCAGUCAAUUUUAGGACACAUACAUACUGGACAAUCUUUUACACUCCAAAAGUUUCUCCAGGUCUCUGACUCUGGCUGAACCUGUGGACUGGCUAACUAAUUUCAUCUUCGUAUUGUUUAUUGUUGGAUGUUAGAAGAGACCAAAACCAUUAAAACAUCGAGGCUAUUAUCAAUUACCUAUGUUCUGCAGCCGGGAGAGCCAGUGCGUUGUCUCUGGGAACUGGUUACCAAAACGUGGACUUGGGGCCCCGAUCAGGUCCAACAACACAAAUAGAUCCUGGAGAAGAAGCAACACAAAUGCUGAAUUACCGUCCGAGAAACAAGCUCUCUCUGACUCUACACACCAGGAACAUGCAGUCAAGGGAGGCAGAGCCUUGACCUGCAUGUGAAGAAUAAAGAAACUAACUAAUUAUCAGGCCUCCAUCACAUUCUUUUCCAUAUUAUUUCUCUGGUUUGGGCUUUAUUGUCAUUUAUUGUCGUUUCCUGCAGCCCCCUUUUUUGGAGCUUGGGUGGUCCUUUGUGCCUC